rnacentral:rRNA from 1 species
GCUCAGAUUGAACGCUGGCGGCAGGCCUAACACAUGCAAGUCGAGCGGUAGCACAGAAGAGCUUGCUCUUUGGGUGACGAGCGGCGGACGGGUGAGUAAUGUCUGGGAAACUGCCUGAUGGAGGGGGAUAACUACUGGAAACGGUAGCUAAUACCGCAUAACCUCGCAAGAGCAAAGAGGGGGACCUUCGGGCCUCUCGCCAUCAGAUGUGCCCAGAUGGGAUUAGCUAGUAGGUGAGGUAAUGGCUCACCUAGGCGACGAUCCCUAGCUGGUCUGAGAGGAUGACCAGCCACACUGGAACUGAGACACGGUCCAGACUCCUACGGGAGGCAGCAGUGGGGAAUAUUGCACAAUGGGCGCAAGCCUGAUGCAGCCAUGCCGCGUGUGUGAAGAAGGCCUUCGGGUUGUAAAGCACUUUCAGCGGGGAGGAAGGCGGUAAGGUUAAUAACCUUAUUGAUUGACGUUACCCGCAGAAGAAGCACCGGCUAACUCCGUGCCAGCAGCCGCGGUAAUACGGAGGGUGCAAGCGUUAAUCGGAAUGACUGGGCGUAAAGCGCACGCAGGCGGUCUGUUAAGUUGGAUGUGAAAUCCCCGGGCUUAACCUGGGAACUGCAUUCAAAACUGACAGGCUAGAGUCUUGUAGAGGGGGGUAGAAUUCCAGGUGUAGCGGUGAAAUGCGUAGAGAUCUGGAGGAAUACCGGUGGCGAAGGCGGCCCCCUGGACAAAGACUGACGCUCAGGUGCGAAAGCGUGGGGAGCAAACAGGAUUAGAUACCCUGGUAGUCCACGCUGUAAACGAUGUCGAUUUGGAGGUUGUGCCCUUGAGGCGUGGCUUCCGGAGCUAACGCGUUAAAUCGACCGCCUGGGGAGUACGGCCGCAAGGUUAAAACUCAAAUGAAUUGACGGGGGCCCGCACAAGCGGUGGAGCAUGUGGUUUAAUUCGAUGCAACGCGAAGAACCUUACCUACUCUUGACAUCCAGAGAACUUAGCAGAGAUGCUUUGGUGCCUUCGGGAACUCUGAGACAGGUGCUGCAUGGCUGUCGUCAGCUCGUGUUGUGAAAUGUUGGGUUAAGUCCCGCAACGAGCGCAACCCUUAUCCUUUGUUGCCAGCGAUUCGGUCGGGAACUCAAAGGAGACUGCCGGUGAUAAACCGGAGGAAGGUGGGGAUGACGUCAAGUCAUCAUGGCCCUUUACGAGUAAGGGCUACACACGUGCUACAAUGGCGUAUACAAAGAGAAGCGACCUCGCGAGAGCAAGCGGACCUCAUAAAGUACGUCGGAAUCCGGAUUGGAGUCUGGAACUCGACUCCAUGAAGUCCGAAUCGCUAGUAAUCGUAGAAUCAGAAUGGCUACGGUGAAUACUUUCCCGGGCCUUGUUCAACACGCCCGUCUCACCAUGGGGAGUGGGGUGGAAAAGAAGUAGGUAGCUUACCUUCCGGAAGGGGGCUUCCCAC